rnacentral:misc_RNA from 1 species
GAUGAAGAACGCAGUGAAAUGCGAUAAGUAAUGUGAAUUGCAGAAUUCAGUGAAUCAUCGAAUCUUUGAACGCACAUUGCGCCCCCUGGUAUUCCGGGGGGCAUGCCUGUCCGAGCGUCAUUACAACCCUCAAGCUCAGCUUGGUGUUGGGUGUUUGUCCCGCGUUGCGCGUGGACUCGCCUUAAAGCGAUUGGCAGCCGGCAUAUUGGCCUUGGAGCGCAGCACAUUUUGCGCUUCUAGUCAUGAAUGUUGGCGUCCAUUAAGCCUAUACAUUUGCUCUUGACCUCGGAUCAGGUAGGGAUACCCGCUGAACUUAAGCAUAUCAAUAAGCGGAGGA